rnacentral:lncRNA from 1 species
AUGUCUGAGGGUGUUGUCAGAAAAAUCCAGCCCUUUACCAUUGGGACCAGGCUGUCUGUCCCCUCUGAAGCCAAAUGCCAGGAGAUUGUGGAUGUCUAUCUGCCGAAGUCUGCUGCUCCGAACAAGUUGGAGCUGCAGAACAACCUACACGACCAAAUGUCCCUUUACAUGGGCCAGUCCCAGGGGUGGCCUGAGACUGGGAACUCGGAACUCCCACAAGUGGCCGUCCAGGUCUACGCUUCAACACCAGAGGGACAUCAGGAUGAGAGAGUGGAGGAGGACAGGAAUUCUGUGUCCCCCACUGCAUCCUCUAGGUCCAUCAGGAAGAUUGCUAUAUGCAGGAAUGCCGAGACAGUCCCCGACGUGUCCUUGUGUGACUCUGACCUGGCCACCUCAGUCAGUUCCACGUCGGAGACCAUCCGAAGCAACAGUGUUCACCCAAAACCGCCAUCCUUGAGAGUAGAGGACGACUUGGAUAAGAUAUCCAACUCUCAGUCUAAGGAUGGACAUCAGUACGAGACGCUUGACGUGGAGACCGACCACAAGGGAGAGAAGAGGAAGAGACUGCAACAGAUAGAAGGCAACAAAGUCCCUUCCCGAGAAAACACCGUUAACCAAACCUGCCUGAGGUUCCAGUCACUGUUAAGAAACUAUCACCAAGACCUCAAACUGGCUCUGGACGUCUCCUCCUUCUACCAACAGGCUGACAACAUCAUCUGCACCAUCAACAGGAAGAGAAGCGUCCUGUCUGGAUCCGAUAACCAGGGGAGCUGCGGUCAGACAGAGAUCUACAAUAUUGCCAGCCAAAUCACGAUGCUGAACGAGACUGUUUCACGCCUUUCGGACCUCCACCCUACCCUGGCUGCCAGAGUGACACGGAAGCAGGCUGAGGUGCAGGAGAGUUGGGGCCUUCUCCAGGAGGGUAGCGGGAGCGAGUGGCCAGAUUUGCCCACCACCCUUGCCAUAGACUUCUCCUGUGAUGAACCUGGCCCACUGAGUCAAACCAGAGAUCCGGAACAUGAGGCCCAGAGGAUCAUAGGAAAGGACAUCAAAGAGGAACAGAACCCUCUCAAAGGGUUCGAGAACAUGAAAGACUGUGGGAUCCCCAGGAAGCUGACUGUUAGUCAAGUUGAAGAACAGCCUUCCAAAAGCUAUGCCCGAGUCUCCUGUGACACCACCAGCAAUGACUUGACUGGAAGACUGUGUGUGGAGAGGCAAAGAAAGGACCAGACAACCCAUUUGAACACCAGUUUUCCAGGUUGCCAAUCAGAACUUGGUAUUCAGUUGCAAAAUUCUACCACAUCUGCUGAUAAGACUCUGUCAUGGCUGAAAGACAACCUUGCUAUGUCAACCCCCAGCCACCACACAGCCAGUCUGAGUGGUCCAGAGGAAAAGCCAGAGUCAACCCAAGGCCCGCACCAAGAUUGUGUGAAGAUGGAAGACCUCCUUGGCCAAGUGGAAAUGUUAUGGGAAGUUCUGAGGAGAAGACUUCAUAGAAGCAUGAUUUAUUCAAACAGCUCUGAGAGGCUCAAGUUUGAGAGGGAUGACAAUCAUGAGACAGACAAGGAUCGGCUCGAGGGAUGCCUUUCAGAAUACAGUGCAACCACGGAAAACGUGCAAUUCUGGAGCGUCCCAGAUGUCAAGGAUCUCUCUGAGACAUUGGAGGAAAACGACAGAGGAAUGCUGACAGAGCUGCUGAGGUGUCUUGACCAGGAUGAAAACUUUGAUCAUUGUGAGGUAGAGGAACAGACCCUUACUGGACAAAUGGAUGACCAAGGGUGCAUGGACUACCCUAUGGAGGACCUUGGUGAAGCAGUGGAGAAAAGAGGACAUUCCCUCUAUCAAAGUGAAGACAUCCAAGAACUUAUGAGUCAGCACUCAACACUGACGCUGCGCAUCAACCAGCUCUUGUCCAGGUGUGCAGAGUUCAGCAUGGACAUUCUGGACACUGAGACGGACAUGGCAGUCAGAUGUGAGCCCUAUAGUUCUGAACUCGAGGGACUGCAGGAGCAACAGGAUGAGCUAGAGAGGGACUAUCAGGUCAUAAAAGAGGAGGUGGAAGAGAUGGAGGGACUGGCUUUGCGACUACAGGUCCUCCUACCUGAAAUGCCAGGGGCUUUGGGGGAGGACAUCCAUGCGACCCAGCACGCUUGGGAGGAGUUGGGCUUGAGCAUGGCAGAGAACCAAUGCAACCUCCAACAAUUUCAGCAACUGCAAGACUUUCUUAGGGCCUACCUGGCCAUGAUGUGA